rnacentral:rRNA from 1 species
UACGUAGGGGCCUAGCGUUGUCCGGAAUUAUUGGGCGUAAAGAGCUCGUAGGCGGUUCGGCAAGUCGGAUGUGAAAUCCCACGGCUCAACCGUGGACGUGCAUCCGAAACUGCUCGGCUCGAGUAUGGAAGAGGGUCGCGGAAUUCCCGGUGUAGAGGUGAAAUUCGUAGAUAUCGGGAGGAACACCAGUGGCGAAGGCGGCGACCUGGGCCAAUAC